UACUCCUACGGGGAGGCAGCAGUGGGGAAUAUUGGACAAUGGGCGCAAGCCUGAUCCAGCCAUGCCGCGUGAGUGAUGAAGGCCCUAGGGUUGUAAAGCUCUUUCACCGGAGAAGAUAAUGACGGUAUCCGGAGAAGAAGCCCCGGCUAACUUCGUGCCAGCAGCCGCGGUAAUACGAAGGGGGCUAGCGUUGUUCGGAAUUACUGGGCGUAAAGCGCACGUAGGCGGAUCGAUCAGUCAGGGGUGAAAUCCCAGGGCUCAACCCUGGAACUGCCUUUGAUACUGUCGAUCUGGAGUAUGGAAGAGGUGAGUGGAAUUCCGAGUGUAGAGGUGAAAUUCGUAGAUAUUCGGAGGAACACCAGUGGCGAAGGCGGCUCACUGGUCCAUUACUGACGCUGAG
rnacentral:rRNA from 1 species